ACAGCAGCAGCCGCGGUAAUACAGAGGGUGCGAGCGUUAAUCGGAUUUACUGGGCGUAAAGCGUGCGUAGGCGGCUUCUUAAGUCGGAUGUGAAAUCCCUGAGCUUAACUUAGGAAUUGCAUUCGAUACUGGGAAGCUAGAGUAUGGGAGAGGAUGGUAGAAUUCCAGGUGUAGCGGUGAAAUGCGUAGAGAUCUGGAGGAAUACCGAUGGCGAAGGCAGCCAUCUGGCCUAAUACUGACGCUGAGGUACGAAAGCAUGGGGAGCAAACAGGAUUAGAUACCCCCGUAGUCCCUGUCUCUAUACA
rnacentral:rRNA from 1 species